GAUAGAUUAUUUAUUUAUUUAUUUAUUUAUUUAUUUAUUCAUUUAUUUAUUUCUACAGUUAUCUUUUCCCACCUGGAUCCAAGUAGGAGCAGCUGUUUGCAGCAGGCAGGAGUCCGAGGCGCCCCCUCCGUGGCUUUGGGGAUUCUAACCAUCUUUUUCAUGUCUGACCACCAACCCCCAAUUUUAUGGCUCAACCUGAAGUGUUCUGCAUACUUCUACCUCAAGUCUAAUUUUUCACCAUCAGUCACGAAUUAAUUCAACUUUGGUAGUGAUCAAUUAGAUAUUCUUAUCAAAUCUUUUUUUAAGCAAGGAGAAGGGGACUAAAAUCAACCAAUGAUGAGAGGUUUAUUACCAAGAAAACAAGCUACAGUUAAUUUCUGAAUCAGAAUAUUGUGCUACACAAAAUUUGCUACAAAGUACAUUGCUAGUCAGGAUACAUCUACACAGCAUUUAAUUGAAUAUGACAAAUAAGAGUCAAAGAAAAUAAAGAUAGAGAUCAAUUAGGAAUGGAUGUCUUAUCCUAUAAACUUAUCUGUAAUUCUUUUUUUUCUUAAGUUUAUUGGUACAUUUUAGGUAUAUAGUACAGUUACAUUCAUCAUUGGGAUCUUGUACCAUUACAUGACAGGUCUUGGUUCUCAUUUUUUCCCCUUGUCCCUGCCCUGCCUUCACCCCCUCCUCUCCUCCCCACUUACAAACACU
rnacentral:lncRNA from 1 species